rnacentral:rRNA from 1 species
AGUGAACGCUGGCGGUAGGCCUAACACAUGCAAGUCGAACGGCAGCACAGUAAGAGCUUGCUCUUACGGGUGGCGAGUGGCGGACGGGUGAGGAAUACAUCGGAAUCUACUUUUUCGUGGGGGAUAACGUAGGGAAACUUACGCUAAUACCGCAUACGACCUACGGGUGAAAGCAGGGGAUCUUCGGACCUUGCGCGAUUGAAUGAGCCGAUGUCGGAUUAGCUAGUUGGCGGGGUAAAGGCCCACCAAGGCGACGAUCCGUAGCUGGUCUGAGAGGAUGAUCAGCCACACUGGAACUGAGACACGGUCCAGACUCCUACGGGAGGCAGCAGUGGGGAAUAUUGGACAAUGGGCGCAAGCCUGAUCCAGCCAUACCGCGUGGGUGAAGAAGGCCUUCGGGUUGUAAAGCCCUUUUGUUGGGAAAGAAAAGCAGCAGGUUAAUACCCCGCUGUUCUGACGGUACCCAAAGAAUAGGCACCGGCUAACUUUG